ensembl:snoRNA
AAGCUACACUCUGUGUCAGUAGUCCUUCAGGACGAUGAUCUGGCUCAAUUUGAGCUUUGCUACAGAGAUGCUCAGUCUCAUUUCAUUCAGGAGUCUUCUGUGAUUUCUGGUGAAAUGUGGACUGACACAUU